GAUGAACGCUGGCGGCGUGCUUAACACAUGCAAGUCGAACGAAGCACUUAAUGAGAUUUCUUCGGAUUGAUUAUUUGUGACUGAGUGGCGGACGGGUGAGUAACGCGUGGGUAACCUGCCCCAGACCGGGGAUAACAGUCGGAAACGACUGCUAAUACCGCAUAAGCGCACAGUGCCGCAUGGCACGGUGUGAAAAACUCCGGUGGUGUGAGAUGGACCCGCGUCUGAUUAGCUAGUUGGCAGGGCAACGGCCUACCAAGGCGACGAUCAGUAGCCGGCCUGAGAGGGUGACCGGGCCACAUUGGGACUGAGACACGGCCCAAACUCCCUACGGGAGGCCAGCAGUGGGAAUA
rnacentral:rRNA from 1 species